rnacentral:rRNA from 1 species
UGCCAGCAGCCGCGGUAAUACGAAGGGACCUAGCGUAGUUCGGAAUUACUGGGCUUAAAGAGUUCGUAGGUGGUUGAAAAAGUUGGUGGUGAAAUCCCAGAGCUUAGCUCUGGAACUGCCAUCAAAACUUUUCAGCUAGAGUAUGAUAGAGGAAAGCAGAAUUUCUAGUGUAGAGGUGAAAUUCGUAGAUAUUAGAAAGAAUACCAAUUGCGAAGGCAGCUUUCUGGUAAUAACUGACGUUGAGGGACGAAAGUGUAGGGAGCAAACAGGAUUAGAUA